GGCAGUCUUCUUGGCUAUC
rnacentral:miRNA from 1 species